UCUUACCGGACCGACAGCAAUAUGAAGGCCAGGCUGAAGACUUUGCCGGAUUAGCUGAGAGGUGGUGCAUGGCCGUCGUCAGUUCGUACUGUGAAGCAUCCUGUUAAGUCAGGCAACGAGCGAGACCCACGCCCACAGUUGCCAGCGUACUCUCUGGAGUGACGGGUACACGUGUGGGGACCGCCGCUGCUAAAGCGGAGGAAGGAAUGGGCAACGGUAGGUCAGUAUGCCCCGAAUAUCCCGGGCUACACGCGAGCUACAAUGGUUGGUACAAUGGGUAUCUACCCCGAAAGGGGACGGGAAUCUCCUAAAACCAAUCUUAGUUCGGAUUGAGGGCUGCAACUCGCCCUCAUGAAGCUGGAAUCCGUAGUAAUCGCGUUUCAACAGAACGCGGUGAAUACGUCCCUGCUCCUU
rnacentral:rRNA from 1 species